UACGGAGGAUGCAAGCGUUAUCCGGAAUGAUUGGGCGUAAAGCGUCCGCAGGUGGCAAUGUAAGUCUGCUGUCAAAGCGUCUGGCUCAACCAGAUAAAGGCAGUGGAAACUACAUAGCUAGAGUAAGGUAGGGGUAGAGGGAACUCCUGGUGUAGCGGUGAAAUGCGUAGAGAUCAGGAAGAACACCGGUGGCGAAAGCGGCCAUCUGGACCGCAACUGACGCUGAGGCGCGAAAGCGUGGGGAGCAAACAGG
rnacentral:rRNA from 1 species